UACAGAGGUGGCAAGCGUUGUUCGGAAUUACUGGGCGUAAAGGGCGCGUAGGCGGCCUUCUAAGUCAGACGUGAAAUCCCCCGGCUUAACCUGGGAAUGGCCGUUGAAACUGGCGAACUGGAGUGUGGCAGAGGGGGGUGGAAUUCCGCGUGUAGCAGUGAAAUGCGUAGAGAUGCGGAGGAACACCGAUGGCGAAGGCAGGUCUCUGGGCUGACACUGACGCUCAUGCACGAAAGC
rnacentral:rRNA from 1 species